GAUGAACGCUAGCGGGAGGCCUAACACAUGCAAGCCGAGCGGUAUUUGUCCUUCGGGACAGAGAGAGCGGCGUACGGGUGCGGAACACGUGUGCAACCUGCCUUUAUCUGGGGGAUAGCCUUUCGAAAGGAAGAUUAAUACCCCAUAAUAUAUCGAAUGGCAUCAUUCGAUAUUGAAAACUCCGGUGGAUAGAGAUGGGCACGCGCAAGAUUAGAUAGUUGGUGAGGUAACGGCUCACCAAGUCAGUGAUCUUUAGGGGGCCUGAGAGGGUGAUCCCCCACACUGGUACUGAGACACGGACCAGACGCCUACGGGAGGCAGCAGUGAGGAAUAUUGGACAAUGGGUGAGAGCCUGAUCCAGCCAUCCCGCGUGAAGGACUAAGGCCCUAUGGGUUGUAAACUUCUUUUAUACUGGGAUAAACCUACUUACGUGUAAGUAGCUGAAGGUACAGUAUGAAUAAGCACCGGCUAACUCCGUG
rnacentral:rRNA from 1 species